UACGAAGGGGGCUAGCGUUGCUCGGAAUCACUGGGCGUAAAGCGCACGUAGGCGGAUUGCUAAGUCAGGGGUGAAAUCCUGGAGCUCAACUCCAGAACUGCCUUGAUACUGGCGAUCUCGAGUCCGGGAGAGGUGAGUGGAACUGCGAGUGUAGAGGUGAAAUUCGUAGAUAUUCGCAAGAACACCAGUGGCGAAGGCGGCUCACUGGCCCGGUACUGACGCUGAGGUGCGAAAGCGUGGGGAGCAAACAGG
rnacentral:rRNA from 1 species